GCCUGGUUACUAGAAAACAAUUGUUGAUUUUAUCUUAUGUGAAUGUUUUUCAGGGCUUCCCUCUUUGCUCUGCUGAUUGUGGACAUUUGCUGCUUUCCUCAUCAGAAAGGCUCUGAUCCGGGUGCUUCUUAUGGCAGGGGUUACCCAAACGCUGCUCCUACUUUUGACUCGUACAAGGGAGCUCCUUCUGGGCAGUAUUCACCUGCAGCUGUUCUGCCUAACAAUGCUCCUUCUAAAGGAGUCUUCACACCAUCUUAUCAGGCUGACCCGCAGCCUACUGCUCAAAGAGGACCAGAACCAUCUGUUGGCUCCAGUUUUCUUCUGGACCUGUGUCAGGAUACAGUGACUCUUCAGUGAGGAGAAACCCUGCGAGCCCUUCACAAAAGGGAGCUGCUUUUCAACCUGGCCUGCAAGAAAUCAACUGGGCUGUUGCUCCACCCAGUCCCUUCUCUCCAGAUGAGGGCAUUUCAUCUGGCACUCAUGGCGUUGUAUCCAGUCUACCUCAGCAAAUGAGUCCACCUCUCCCACCGCCUGGACCAAUGUACCAGGCAGGAGAGCUUUCCCAUUUUGAGAAUAGCUUUGAGCGUGCUAACUCUGAGAGGAAACCGAGGAAACGGGUUUGUAUCCUCCUCCUCCUCCACUACCGCCAUACGUUCCGCAAGAGUCUGCUGGACAAGGCUUCAUCUACCAACCUCAGCCAAACUCCUACAUCAGUGGAAGCUGGGACUAUUACCCUUACUAUGACUUCAUGUUCCUGACCGGCCAGUAUCCUCCAGGCACAGUCAGUCACUUCAGCAGCAGCUACGAGCAGGGGAGAGACUACUGG